AACAAGGCGUACCUGCGGACCUGCGGAAGGAUCAUUAAAAAAUUCCUUUGCCCGCGGACCUUUUUGUCGUCCAAGGCGCAAAACCAACACUGUGUGCACCGUUAUCGUUAUCGUUUCUUUGGCAGGGGCUUGGGGCGAAAUAUAUUUUUACCUCAACUUCUCCUCCGGCUCUAUCCCACCAUCUCGCGCGGGACAGCUGGACAUGGGAAGCAGUUUACCCUGCCAAGUAAAACCCUCAAC
rnacentral:misc_RNA from 1 species